GACGAACGCUGGCGGCGUGCCUAAUACAUGCAAGUAGAACGCAGUUGCGAACGGGUGAGUAACGCGUAGGUAACUGCCUCAUAGCGGGGGAUAACUAUUUGAAACGAUAGCUAAUACCGCAUACUGUGAGAUGGACCUGCUUUUUUUUGGCUUGUUGGUGAGGUAAAGGCUCACCAAGGCGACGAUACAUAGCCGACCUGAGAGGGUGAUCGGCCACAAGGGGAAUGAGGCACGGCGCAGACUCCAACGGGAGGCAGCAGUAGGGAAUCUUCGGCAAAGGACGGAAGGCUGACCGAGCAACGCCGCGGGAGUGAAGAAGGUUUUCGGAUCGUAAAGCUCAGUUGUGAGAGAAGCGGGAAAAAAAGAGAAAGGGACGGCUAACUACGUGCCAGCAGACGCGGUAAGAG
rnacentral:rRNA from 1 species